UUGAGGGUUAAUCCUGCAGCACAGGAGCACUGGGAAAACACACUCAAACCACUGCACACAUCAGAGAGCUUAUUUUAUUCCUGGAAGAUGAACGAACCGGGUAGACGUUUCAACCAGUUCAAGGUAGAAGUCAAGAGCACCAACACGCAUGCAGUCAACACCAUCACACACCGAGUGUGUCCAGGGAGCAACUGAAAAUAGACUCACACCUGCUUUUUCCUCUAGGGAGGUGGUGGUGUUCAAUGGGCUCAACAGACAGGCAGAAGGCAAGGUGCCCUCCGUCACCUACGAUUCAGUUACCAAACAGCUCCAGGACUUGUGCAGGGCUGGCGCUGGGCAGCCAGGAAGGGUGUUCUGAGACUGACGCGUCUGCAUCCUUGGAAGAGCACGUUUUACUUUUUUUCCACAGGCCCUCAGUGCAGCCUACAGAAGCUCACCUAGAGCAGUGCACGGAGGCAGAGAUAGCCGGGUGGUCUGAAAUGCAUGCAAUGCGACAGGCCUGUAUACAUACAAGAGCAGAGGCGUGGAUCACCCGGGUGUUCUCCUACGUUCUGGGUGGAAUGAUCAGUAACUAACAGCUCUGGGUCUGCCAGAUGGAGAAGCAGCCGCAACACAGAGGACGCGGUUAAAGUGCGUGCACCCUGGAGCAGGAGGCGAAGCUCAGACCCUGCAGGCCUUCUCUGGGGGUCGGGGUGGUCGGGGUGGGGGGUCCCGGAACGAGAGCCCCUUGGGUCUGGGCUUUCUUCAGCAAAGGAUCUCACGUUUGCACCUAAAACCUCAGGGAUCUCUAAAGAAAGUUGCAGGGUCAGGACCUUGCACUGAACGGACUACAGGGGAAAAAAAAUAAUCACCAUGCAACUUCCAACCACCAUCCCCGGGCAUCAGUUCGGUGAUUAUCUUGUGAACAGCCACACUGCACACUGCACGGUGCCCCCGGCGCGUGUCAACAUUACAUGCACCGGUAUGGAGAACACAGCUCAUCUAAUUCCGGGCGGCGCCCUUGAACGCCCCUUGGCCUCGAAUAUCCGGGGGCCAGAGUUUCUCCCGGGCUCAGCGACGCGAUCCAUCUAACCCGGUCCCCGCCAACCCCUCUCCAAGCCCGGCCCGCGGCGCCGCGGAGCUGCCUCCGCACGGUGCCGCGGCGCUGGAGCGCACGGCGCGCGCCCCGCCGGACCGGGCACUUUCACUGGGCGGCCGCAGCGCGCACACAAUGGGCCAGGAAGCGCUUAUCACGGCGCGCAGCCUUCCCCGAGCGCGGCGGGCGGCGGCCCGCGCUUCCUGCUCGACACCCCCCCCCCGGCCCCCGGCGCGGCGCAGCGGCGGAAGAGCGCGGUGGGGGAGCCACGGCGGCGACACGCGCGGCCGGCGGCGGGGAAACAAAGGCGGGAUGUGUGCGCCGGCAGCCCGGAUGCGGGGCGCCGGCGGGGCCGGGCGGCGCGGUUCCGCCGCUGCGCCCAUUGUCUCCGGGCGCAGCGGCGCGGCUGGCGCGCACCGAGGGGCUGCGCGAUCGCCUCUCCCGCAGGGCCGCCUCCUGGCGCGACGCCGGCCUGGGGGUUCAGCGCGGAGCGAGGGUCUUUGAGGGGCACGCGUGUUUUGUUGCAGUGCCGUUGGCGAGCAGGGCGCGUCCCCCAGGCCUGGCCUGGCGCGGCACGUGUCUUUCGCUUCCCUUAAUAACCCUGCGAGGCCGCACCUAGUUUUAUCUGCGUUUUCCAGGGCCGGGGGUCUCUCUGGAUUUUUGAUGAAACGUUCUGGAAUGGUCCUGUUUGUGGAAAGCACAUGUCAUGUCUGCAGCACGUGUCCAGAUUCUUCCUUUGACUACACAAGCAACAGCUGUCUAGCUGCCUGCACAGGACUGGAUCUAAUGCCUCUACAGAAAUCUAGGUCAAAACACUUGGAAUGCAUGAAUAUCAAACAGAGUUUUCAAAACAGCAAAUGAAUACAUCUUUAACUGGUGACAUUUUCCUGGAACAUAUGGCUGCAAGCUCAGGGGACUGGAUGCUUUUUUGAUGAAUACGUUCCGUCAAAAACUAAGGGAUGGCAGGAGGCUUUUGCCACCUUCUGUUUUGCUUUAUGAAAUGAUAAUGCAAACUCGUAGAUAGAUCCAAUGAUCACAAGGCUUUUACCUUCAGACCUAUUCUAAAGACAUUUCCCUUUUGGACGAUUCACUUUGUCUUUAGUUGGGUUUGAGUUCAUACAUAGUCGUCAAAGGUGAUAGCCAGUCGGAGGAGUUUCCUUUUCUUGGGCACAAUUUGAUUGGGAGAAGUGUUCAAAAACUUGAACUGCAAAGCAAAUCUCACCAAAGAGUCAGUAUUAAGGGGCAAGAUAAUCAUUUCCCAAUGAGCAGCACAGGGAAAAACCUUGGGAAAUUGGAGACUGGCUCCUUAAGCUUCAAUCUGCCAACAGUAAACCAAGUGGGACCUUGGACUUGGUCUGUCAACUCUGUGACUUCACCAUUAUUCUCUCAUGUCAAAUUAAGGUAGAAGACUAUUGCUUUUAUGUUCUCUCUAUUUCUAAACUUCCAGGUAUGAGUAAGUGUGUAGCUGUUUACUUGUUAAUCACUCAGUGUGUUUGUAAUGAUGCUGCAAAGAUGUCUUUGAACUCUUUCUUGGUUGACUGAGUGUUUGUUUCUUAAAAAGAAACUAGAUUCUGGGCCAGCACUGCAGCCUAGUGAGUAAAGCUGCCUCCUGCAGUGCCGGCAUCCCAUAUGGGUACUUGUUUGAAUUCUGGCUGCUCCGCUUCGAUCCAGCUCUCUGCUGUGGCCUGGGAAAGCAGUAGAAGAUGGCCCAAAUCUUUGGGCCCCUGCACCCUGCGUGAGAGACCUGGAAGAAGCUCCUGGCUCCUGGCUUCUGGCUUCGGGUCGACACAACUCUGGAUGUUAUGACCAUUUGGGGAGUGAACCUGCAGAUCGAAGACUUCUCUCUGCCUCUGCCUCUCUGUUACUCUGCCUUUCAAAUAAAUCAAUAAAUCUUUAAAAGAGAGAGAGAGAGAGAGAGAGAGAGAGAGAGAGAGAGAGAGACAAGAGGGGCCGGCGCCAUGGUGCAGUGGGUUGAUCCUCCAUCUGUGGCGCCAGCAUCCUAUAUGGGUGCUGGUUCUAGUCCCAGCUGCCCCUCUUCUGAUCCAGCUCUCUGCUAUGGCCUGGGAAAGCAGUGGAAGAUGGCCCAAGUGCUUGGGCCCCUGCACUUGCAUGGGAGACCAGGAAGAAGCACCUGGCUCCUGGCUCUGGAUCAGCGCAGCUCCAGCCAUUGCAGCAAUUAGGGAGUGAACCAGCGAAUGGAAGAUAUCUCUCUCUCUCUCUCUCUGCCUCUCCUUCUCUCUCUGUGUAACUCUUGACUUUCAUGUAAAAAUAAAUAAAUCUUUAAAAAAACAAGAUUUAUUCUUUCUUUAACACCAUGGGGCUGGUCUGGUUAUGCUGGGCGAGGAAGGAAUGAUGAUCCAUUGAUCUCUCUCUUUUCUCCCCUCCUAGGAAAGCAUCUGAAACCCAACUGGAAAGUCUGGGUCACCACCAAGCCCAGUGUGAAAUCCAUUGGCUUAGUAACAGUGGUGAUGACAAAGGAAAUGUCAGGGACUGUGUUUCUUUCCUUUUGCAUUUAGCUAGAGUAUGUGAAAGAAACUUAGUGCAUUUCAGCUGCAGGUUAAACUUUAAGCCUCAUGUUAGCUUCUAGUUUGGCUUUUGUUUAAAAAAAAAAAAAACAGUUGAACUCACAAUCAUUAUCAGAAUCUAUAACUGGGUCAUUUUAUUCAGAAAAUGAACUUGCUCUCCCUCACACUGAGUCGGUAUACCCAACCAGAUUCUCAAAAUCACAUUAAGAAAAUACUGAGGCUAAAGGGGCGUUCUCAUCACAGAUACCUUGUGGCCCGGUUUCCAGAAAGAAGGAGUUAGUGCCACAACAUGGUGUGUGACGUAGUUCACAGCAACACUCUCUAUGUUUUAUAAAGAAUUAGAAGACAGGAUCUGAGAACUCCAACCACAAUGAAGUUACAGGAAGAUGGAAAUGCUAGUCAUGCUGAUUUAAUCAGCACACUGUAUGUCCAUAUAAUGAGAUAUCACACCAUGCCCCAUGAAUAUGUAUAAUUAUUUCAUGUUAAAAAAUAGAAAGAAAAAAACUACCACUGUUACCAGGUUCUUGAGUAGCUUGUCAAUGUGAUUUAUGCAUAAACAGUUGUAUGUACACAUAUGUUUGUAUGUGUGUGUUUGCCUUUUUAGUGAAAUGAAAGGACAUGGAACACAGAUAAAAGCACUUAGCUUUUUAACUUAGUAGCAUUCCUAGAUAUUAUAUCUUAACAAGUGUAUAUAAUAAGUAUGUUUCUUUUUUUAAAGACUUCAUAGAUCUUACUGCGGAUUCUUAAAACUUUUUUUAAGAAUUAUUUUAUUUAUUUGAAAGACAUAAUUACAGAAAGAGGUAGAGCCAGAGAGAGAGAGGUCUUCCAUAUUCCUGGUUCAUUCCCCAAAUGAGUGCAACAGCCAGAGCUGAGCUGAUCUGAAGCCAAGAGCCAGGAGGUUCUUCCAGUUCUCCCACGAAGGUGCAGGGUCCCAAGGGCUUGGGCCAUCUUCUACUGCUUUUCCAGGCAAUAGCAGAGAGCUGGAUCGGAAGUGGUGCAGCUGGGACUAGAACUGGCACUCACAAGGGAUGCCGGCAUUGCAGGCUGGGGUUUUAACCCACUGCACCACAGCACUGGCCCCUGCAUAGAACUUUUAAAAUCAAUCCAUUUUAAAAAUCAUUGACUUGAAUUUUUGUGCUUUUUUCUGUUUACUAAUGAAGUAUCAAUGAAUGCCCAUGUAUGUAUGUAUGUGUUUAUGAAUACAUGUGAAAACAUCUAAAGGAAAGUCUUAUAAAAAUAAAAUUGCUGGGUUAAAAGGUAUGUACACAUUCAAUUUAGAUAGAUUGAGACACCUAACAUUUAACCAUAGUUGAUAUUUGCAUUUUUAAGGAAAACAUGACUGCAGUGAAACGUGUUUCAUAAUUUACAAACUACAUAUGUAUAGAUACAGAUAGAUAGAUAGAUAUAUAAGCUCUCUUCAUAUCCAUUGUCCAUAAAAUGAAGUAAGAUAAUAACUUAAUAGCCUUCUGGGAAAAUGAAUAAAAUUGUACUCCUACUUAUUUUCAACACAAAAAUAAAAUUCAUUUGGGCCAAUGAUUUUGUGCUAAAAAUGAAACCAUUGAAGUACUAUUGGAAAACCUGACAGGUUGUUUUCUUAUAACUAAUCCAGAACUAAGGAGGGUUUUUCUGAGCAUCCUAUAAACCUUACAAGAAAUGAUUCUAAAGAUGCAUACAUUCAUAAAAGAAGUACACUAGGAAAAAGGAAGACUGUCACAGUUAGAUGAAUGGCAGUCACAUUUGACAGAUGCCAAUGCUUUAAAUGGUUCAUAGAAACCAUCCUAGCUCAAUCUGCCAAAACUAAGAGACUGUUGUUCUCAUCCUGCAAGAAAUUAUGGAGAAUAAACUACAAAACCAUAAAGGGCCUGGAACAUACAUAACCCUAAAUGAGACCCAUUCUAGAAAGCUAAGACCCCUUCACAGAUGGUAGUGGACCCCACAGUUGCCCUCAUCCCUGAGGGAGCUCCAGGCAGAAAGGACAGCCUGUAGCCAGGGCACGGAGGACCCCAGCUGACCAAGAAUGGUCUUGGCCUGGCCGACUUCAGUUCCGCAGGACCUCAGACAUAUCUCAAGUCUGGACCAGGCUGCAACUCUUCCCUCCAGUCUUCCCUGACUGCAGGACUGCUCAGUGAUAUUGUCACCUCUGGAGAGCUGAGGGUGGCUUCUGCUGCUCAGAAGGAAAGAGAGAAACCACCCGGGACAAGCCAACCUUCAAAGAGGACACGCAUAGAAACACCUGUCCUUGAUGACUAACGUAUUUGCUGUGGUUUGGAUAUGGCUUGCGUGUCUCCCAAGUCUUCACGUGUUGGAAUUUAACUCAAAUGGUGAUUAAGAGUGUAGAAUUGUAGUCCUUUAAAAAAUAGCAAUAAUUAUGCAUAUUUAUGGGCCUCAGUGUGAUACUUCAGUACAUGCCCACAAUGUCUAUUGAACAAAGCAGGUAAUCAGCCUACCUCCUUCUCUGACAUUACUUUAUGAUUGGAGGCUUCAGCUUCUUCCUUCUCUUUAACAGUAUCUACGAGGUUAUUGUGAACUAGUGUCCCCACUAUGCUUGUAGCACUAGGAACUUACUCCUUCACAACGACGGUGUUAGGGUCUUUUGGGAAGUUAUUUGGAUUAGAUAAAGUUUUUAGGGUGGAAGCCCCAGGAUUGCAUCCAGAUGGCUUUAUAAAAGAGAGAAACUAGAAAUAUACAUAUAGACACACACACACAAUCCCUGUGGCUUAUCAUGUGAUGAUGUGUACUGACUCAGGACUCUGGCAGCAAGGUCAUUACCAGAUACGAGCCUGUGAAUGUCCAGAACCAUGUAUUAUUAAAUGUAAUUAUAGUUCAUAUUAUUUCACUUGUUCUCACUGCAUUUUCUAUGUGUCACUACAGCCUCAGUGUUUUUACCCAGUGACUUGUCCAGGAACACAUGUACAGUUUCUGAAUAAAUAGGAACUACAAAAAUUAUUCUUUCUUUUUAAAAAAUUUUAUUUAUUUUAUUUGAAAAACAGAAUUAUGCAAAGAGAGAAGAUUAAGUUGAGGUGGAGGGAGAGAGAGAUCUUUCAUUUUCUGGUUCACUCCACAAAUGGCUACAAUGACCAGGACUUGGUCAGACCAAAGCUAGGAGCCAGGAACUUCAUCCAGGUCUCCCAUGGGUGUACCCGGGCCCAAGCACUUGAGCCAUCUUCUUUGCUUUCCCAGGUGCAUCAGCAGGGAGCUGGAUUGGAAGUGGAGCAGCCAGUAAUAGAACUGAUGCCCAUAUGAUAUGCUGGCAUUUCAGGUGGAGGCUUAACCCGCUAUGCCACAGUGCUGGCCCCGUACAUGUUUUCUUAAUGGUGUGUGCUAAAAUGUCUAUUUUGUAUUAUCUAAGGGACGAGAUGCUGGGCAUUCUAAUUUACAUCUUGUAAUGUGGUGCCAAAUUACUUCCCAAAUGAGCUGUAGCCUUUGCACCAGCACCAGAGGAGUAGAAAAUGUCAUGCUAAAACAUAUCCUCUCCAGCUCCUGGUAUUACCAAGAAUGUGUGCAGGAUGAAUAAUUGUAAAGAAGUGUCCCACUUUGGUCUUGACUUACAUUUUUUUCUGAUUAAGAUUGAUGUUUACUGAGCAUAUACAUUUUCUGUGAAA